UGUUUAUAUAAAAGAAAAAUUUUGAACAAAUUUUAUAUAUCACAUUGCUUCACAUUGUGAUCAUUAUGGCCACUUCAACAACACAAUCAAAUGAUAAUAACAUCCAAUCAUUGAUGAAACAAUUUAUGGAAAUAUUUGCUUUCAAUCAAGUAAUCAAAUAUGAUGGUACUAACAUCAAUAAAUGGAUAAUAUCGGUCCGAUCAGCGUUUCAGAUGUGCGAAAAGGAACAUUUUCUUUGCGAUGAACUUCCAAUUGGCCAUCAUGAAUACUAUGAUUAUCAAAGAUAUUUUGGUUUAUUGAUGUUCACGUUCGAACCAAAGAUUUUGCAACGUUUUGUUCAUCUAAAAACAGUGUUUCAAUUAUGGGACCAUAUGGUUCGAUUCGAACAAGAUAGUCUGGCUACAUCGGUAAGAAAAUUUACCAAAUUGAUUGGAACAAAAUACGAUGGUGGUAAACUUUGUCAUUGGUUCGAACGGUUAACGGCACAAUUCGAAGAUAUCGAAUCGGAAUGGCUGCAUUUCAAUGAAAAAACACGAUGCACCAUCACCAUCAGUUUGUUGCCACGACCGCAGUUUGAUCAUCUGAUAGACAGACUGACGUCCAUAGAGUCACUGUCAAUGAUGGUCUUAAUGAACAUAUUCAUUGAUGAAGACAAGAACAUGAAAACUGGUUCAACAAAAUGUGCCGAUAAUCAAUUUGUCAACAAAAAGCCAUCAUUAUCAUCGAAACGCAACAAGUGUGGUUAUUGUAAACGAAAUGGUCAUAAUACUGAUGAAUGUUAUAAACGUUUAUAAAGACAACCAAUUAUCCAUGAUUACUGAUGAAGAAUCAAUUAGUAUUCAAUCAUCUAGCUCUCUCCAAUCUCACCUUUUACCUGAAUUGAUAAUCCGAUUAUUGUGUGUGUGUGUGUGUGUGUUUGUGCAUGCACACGAGUGAAAAUCAAAAGUGUAAUAAAAAAAAAUCAUUAUAUUUGAAAAU